AACGAACGCUGGCGGCAGGCUUAACACAUGCAAGUCGAGCGCCCCGCAGGGGGAGCGGCAGACGGGUGAGUAACGCGUGGGAAUCUACCCAUCUCUACGGAAUAACGCAUGGAAACGUGUGCUAAUACCGUAUACGUCCUUCGGGAGAAAGAUUUAUCGGAGAUGGAUGAGCCCGCGGUGGGUUAGCUAGUUGGUGGGGUAAAGGCCUACCAAGGCGACGAUCCAUAGCUGGUCUGAGAGGAUGAUCAGCCACACUGGGACUGAGACACGGCCCAGACUCCUACGGGAGGCAGCAGUAGGGAAUAUUGGACAAUGGGCGCAAGCCUGAUCCAGCCAUGCCGCGUGAGUGAUGAAGGCCCUAGGGUUGUAAAGCUCUUUCACCGGUGAAGAUAAUGACGGUAACCGGAGAAGAAGCCCCGGCUAACUUCGUGCCAGCCGCCGCAGUAAUAC
rnacentral:rRNA from 1 species